GUGGAUAUUAGGGCACUCCUACAUCUACUGGGCAGCGAGGCGGGUGGAGGAGCACCCUUCUGGUCGCAACUUGGGGUUUUCCUACGACCAAGCUCAGGUCCGAUGGAGUGGCAUUCGGGGUUUGUCAUGGAGCCAGGUGUAUCCAGAGUGCCGUUUCCUGAGCAGGUUUGUUCCCAGUUCGGUGAUAUUAGUCAUUCAUGCAGGGGGUAAUGACCUGGGCCGGGUCCGGACAGUUGAUCUAAUUCAUG